rnacentral:rRNA from 1 species
UGGGGAAUUUUGGACAAUGGGCGAAAGCCUGAUCCAGCAAUGCCGCGUGUGUGAAGAAGGCCUUCGGGUUGUAAAGCACUUUUGUCCGGAAAGAAAUCCUUGGCUCUAAUACAGUCGGGGGAUGACGGUACCGGAAGAAUAAGCACCGGCUAACUACGUGCCAGCAGCCGCGGUAAUACGUAGGGUGCAAGCGUUAAUCGGAAUUACUGGGCGUAAAGCGUGCGCAGGCGGUUUGCUAAGACCGAUGUGAAAUCCCCGGGCUCAACCUGGGAACUGCAUUGGUGACUGGCAGGCUAGAGUAUGGCAGAGGGGGGUAGAAUUCCACGUGUAGCAGUGAAAUGCGUAGAGAUGUGGAGGAAUACCGAUGGCGAAGGCAGCCCCCUGGGCCAAAUACUGACGCUCAUGCACGAAAGCGUGGGGAGCAAACAGGAUUAGAUACCCUGGUAGUCCACGCCCUAAAACGAUGUCAACUAGCUGUUGGGGAUUCAUUUCCUUAGUAACGUAGCUAACGCGUGAAGUUGACCGCCUGGGGAGUACGGUCGCAAGAUUAAAACUUAAAGGAAUUGACGGGGUCAUAGCUGUUUCCU